UGAGGACGUCUGAGGACAACAUGACAGACAUGGUGACCCACAUGCCUGACCGCUACAAGAUUGUGGAGACACUGAUCCAGCACUCAGACUGGUUCUUCAGUGACGAAGAGGACAAGGGAGAGAGAACCCCUGUGGGCGACAAGGAGCCUCAGGCAGUGCCCAACAUUGAGUACCUCCUGCCCAACAUUGGCAGGACAGUGCCCCCUGGCGACCCAGGGUCAGAUUCUACCACCUGUAGUUCAG
rnacentral:lncRNA from 1 species